rnacentral:rRNA from 1 species
CCUACUCCUACCGGGAGGCAGCAGUGGGGAAUAUUGCACAAUGGGCGAAAGCCUGAUGCAGCGACGCCGCGUGAGGGAUGACGGCCUUCGGGUUGUAAACCUCUUUCAGCAGGGAAGAAGCGAAAGUGACGGUACCUGCAGAAGAAGCGCCGGCUAACUACGUGCCAGCAGCCGCGGUAAUACGUAGGGCGCAAGCGUUGUCCGGAAUUAUUGGGCGUAAAGAGCUCGUAGGCGGCUUGUCGCGUCGGUUGUGAAAGCCCGGGGCUUAACCCCGGGUCUGCAGUCGAUACGGGCAGGCUAGAGUUCGGUAGGGGAGAUCGGAAUUCCUGGUGUAGCGGUGAAAUGCGCAGAUAUCAGGAGGAACCACCGGUGGCGAAGGCGGAUCUCUGGGCCGAUACUGACGCUGAGGAGCGAAAGCGUGGGGAGCGAACAGGAUUAGAUACCCUGGUAGUCCACGCCGUAAACGGUGGGCACUAGGUGUGGGCAACAUUCCACGUUGUCCGUGCCGCAGCUAACGCAUUAAGUGCCCCGCCUGGGGAGUACGGCCGCAAGGCUAAAACUCAAAGGAAUUGACGGGGGCCCGCACAAGCGGCGGAGCAUGUGGCUUAAUUCGACGCAACGCGAAGAACCUUACCAAGGCUUGACAUACACCGGAAAGCAUCAGAGAUGGUGCCCCCACUUG